UUAAAUGCGUUGACGAGAGAUUAGUAUUGCGUGAAGGGUCACAGAGAGAAGGCCGAUUGUCUGAGAGGCCUUCGAUAAUUGACGUAAGAAUUCACUCUCUGAGCAGGGAUUGGGCGUUAGUAAUAACAAAAAAUCUUCCGGUUAAUUAGCCGUUAUUCAAUUACCAAGUGACACUUUACGAGUGUAACUAGGGUGGUACCGCGUUGACUUCGUCCCUUUU
rnacentral:ncRNA from 1 species